AUUGAACGCUGGCGGCAUGCCUUACACAUGCAAGUCGAACGGUAACAGGUCUUCGGAUGCUGACGAGUGGCGAACGGGUGAGUAAUACAUCGGAACGUGCCCGAUCGUGGGGGAUAACGAGGCGAAAGCUUUGCUAAUACCGCAUACGAUCUACGGAUGAAAGCGGGGGAUCUUCGGACCUCGCGCGGACGGAGCGGCCGAUGGCAGAUUAGGUAGUUGGUGGAAUAAAAGCUUACCAAGCCGACGAUCUGUAGCUGGUCUGAGAGGAUGAUCAGCCACACUGGGACUGAGACACGGCCCAGACUCCUACGCGAGGCAGCAGUGGGGAAUUUUGGACAAUGGGCGAAAGCCUGAUCCAGCCAUGCCGCGUGCAGGAUGAAGGCCUUUGGGUUGUAAACUGCUUUUGUACGGAACGAAAAGCCUCUUUCUAAUAAAGAGGGGUCAUGACGGUACCGUAAGAAUAAGCACCGGCUAACUACGUG
rnacentral:rRNA from 1 species